rnacentral:rRNA from 1 species
UGGGGAAUAUUGGACAAUGGGCGAAAGCCUGAUCCAGCCAUGCCGCGUGUGUGAAGAAGGUCUUCGGAUUGUAAAGCACUUUAAGUUGGGAGGAAGGGUAGUAAGCGAAUACCUUGCUGUUUUGACGUUACCGACAGAAUAAGCACCGGCUAACUCUGUGCCAGCAGCCGCGGUAAUACAGAGGGUGCAAGCGUUAAUCGGAAUUACUGGGCGUAAAGCGCGCGUAGGUGGUUCGUUAAGUUGAAUGUGAAAGCCCCGGGCUCAACCUGGGAACUGCAUCCAAAACUGGCGAGCUAGAGUAGGGCAGAGGGUGGUGGAAUUUCCUGUGUAGCGGUGAAAUGCGUAGAUAUAGGAAGGAACACCAGUGGCGAAGGCGACCACCUGGGCUCAUACUGACACUGAGGUGCGAAAGCGUGGGGAGCAAACAGG